AUUGAACGCUGGCGGCAGGCUUAACACAUGCAAGUCGAGCGGAGUGAUGGUGCUUGCACUAUCACUUAGCGGCGGACGGGGUAGUAAUGCUUAGGAAUAUGCCUAUUAGUGGUGGACAACAUCUCGAAAGGGAUGCUAAUACCGCAUACAUCCAACGGUAAAAAGCAGGGGAGCACUUGUGACCUUGCGCUAAUAGAUGAGCCAUAGUCGGAUUAGCUAGGUGGUGGGGUAAAGGCCUACAAAGGCGACGAUGUGUAGCGGGUCUGAGAGGAUGAUCCGCCACACUGGGACUGGGACACGGCCCAGAAUCCUACGGGAGGCAGCAGUGGGGAAUAUUGGACAAUGGGGGGAACCCUGAUCCAGCCAUGCCGCGUGUGUGAAGAAGGCCUUAUGGUUGUAAAGCACUUUAAGCGAGGAGGAGGCUCUUUUGGUUAAUAUCCAAGAUGAGUGGACGUUACUCGCAGAAUAAGCACCGGCUAACUCUGUGCCAGCAGCCGCGGUAA
rnacentral:rRNA from 1 species